rnacentral:lncRNA from 1 species
GAUGUUUCAGAUCCCAACUCCAGUCUCUCUUUUCCAUCUAAUCACCCAACAGAAGAAACAAAGACUCCGCCUGAGGGCAGCAAGUGCCGUAAGCUGUGGACCUGGAAGGCUGAGGCCAUCUGAGCAGUCCUGGCGGGCAGGAGCGGUGGUGGCUGCGGAUGGUGUAAUGGAGACGGGCAAUGUUUCAACAGCUCCUGAAGCUCCAGGUUCCUUCCAGUCCCAACAACCUCUUCAUCAUGUUUGCAACUGGCCUUGGGACCAUUUGGUGUUAAUUACAGCAACCCAGGCUUCUCUGUGUGAAGGAAAUCGUCCCUCAUUUCUCUCAUUAAAGUAAAAUAUGACCCGUU